rnacentral:rRNA from 1 species
UACAGAGGUCUCAAGCGUUUGUUCGGAUUCAUUGGGCGUAAAGGGUGCGUAGGCGGCGCGGUAAGUCGGGUGUGAAAUCUUGGAGCUUAACUCCGAAACUGCAUUCGAUACUGCCGUGCUUGAGGACUGGAGAGGAGACUGGAAUUUACGGUGUAGCUGGUGAAAUGCGUAGAUAUCGUAAGGAAGACCAGUGGCGAAGGCGGGUCUCUGGACAGUAACUGACGCUGAGGAGCGAAAGCGUGGGGAGCGAACAGG